GACUCAGCAGUUGCUGCAAAACAACCAGUUGACAAGCUCGGCUAGUAGAGGACAAUGACAUCCACUAAGUCCGAGGUGGGUCCGCCCUACUCAGCUCUGUGUCCCCGUCCUCUGCUCCUGCUCUCAAGGCUUGGUUUGGGUUCCCCCACUUCAUUUUUCCUAUCGCUAACUUGAAUAGAAGGUCGUUUGAAGAAGUACUUAAAAAUGAAACGGAGAAGUUUCUGGAAACUUUCUGUGCGGGCUGCAAGGUAAAACAACAACACAAAGCACUGCAGAUCUGCCUCAGAGCCACACCAGAGAGGCUGGCUCCUGCGGUUAAGUGUCUUUGGCAAGUUUUGGAGGAAAUCUCCCUCCGGCUGCAAGCAAUACAGAAAGGCUUCCGGAGUGAUGGGAGAGAGCAGAGAGGAAGGCUGACGAGAAAACUCUGAAUUCUGACAGAGUCCUCACUAGCCAUUCUGAAAAACGCACCCUCAAACUGUGCCGGGUCUUCGGGAACCCUGACUCACCGUAGGUCGCAGCUACUCCUCCUUAAGUCAGUCUUGGCUGUCCAGGUUGGCUGCUUGGUGACCGAGAUUCAAAAGCUGCCUGCUGAGCAAACAAACGAAAGGAACCAGGAGUGAACUGUGGCAGCAAUGGUGUUCCCCGCAGGCUGGGUGUCACUUACCAGCCUCAUCAAUAAUGAAGGAUUGAUAAAUAAUCCAUUGCAAAGAAAGGACCCUCCUAUUGUCACCUCGUAUUUCCCAGCUUUUUACAACCAUGGUGCCAGAUGUAAAUUGGAUAAAUUAAGUGAGGAUUUAAUUUUA
rnacentral:lncRNA from 1 species